CUAUGAGAUAAUGAGCAACUCAGUUAUCAAAUAUCUAUCUAGGAUAUAUCUUUAGAUAAAAGAAAUGAGGUACGAGUUUAUAAACGAGUUCGAGGUAAAUCAUGCUUCUGCAGAUGAUGUUUGGGCGAUCUAUACCGCCCCAAACUUCCCUACUUUAGCCGCUCAAUUGCUUCCAGGUUUACUCAAAAGCAAGGAUAUCGUGGAAGGUGAUGGCUGCAGCGUUGAUACUAUUCUCAGUGUUGUGUUCCUUCCAGGUUGUGUUGUACCGUUGUACUAGGAGAAGAUUGUGACUGUCAAUCAAGAAAAACGACUCAAGGAGAUACAAAUGAUUGAAGGUGGAUACUUGGAAAUGGGAUGUACAUCUUGUAUGUUAAGCUUCGAAAUACUGGUGAAGGAAAGAAAUUCAUGCAUCAUCAAGACACUUACCAAGUACGAAAUCAGUGACGAUUUAGCAACUGGCAUUUCUUGUCAUUUUCACACUAGCUUUGAUACAUGGGUUGCAUUAGCUCAACAAGUUUCAAAACAUAUUGGAGAGCAAAAUGCAAGAGCAGCUAAUUAAGUUGCUGCCUGCGACCUUUCGUAAUGAUUUUCCAUUUGCGGAGUUUGCUGAUCCUAUUAUCGUUAAAAAUCAAUAUUAUAUAUGUAAUUACGUAUAAAUAAAUUGGCUUAUCCUUGUGAUCCAAUAUUACAAGAGAUGUUCUAUUAAGCCUGUCGAUUCAGAGGUUGCAUAUCUCAGUGUAUUAAGGCGCCAUAAGCCAGCUCUCUAGCUGCCGGUUACAUGACUCUAUUUAUAAGUAAAUUUAACAUUUGGUCUAUUGAACA